rnacentral:rRNA from 1 species
UGGCGGCGUGCCUAAUACAUGCAAGUCGAACGCACAGCGAAAGGUGCUUGCACCUUUCAAGUGAGUGGCGAACGGGUGAGUAACACGUGGACAACCUGCCUCAAGGCUGGGGAUAACAUUUGGAAACAGAUGCUAAUACCGAAUAAAACUUAGUGUCGCAUGACACAAAGUUAAAAGGCGCUUCGGCGUCACCUAGAGAUGGAUCCGCGGUGCAUUAGUUAGUUGGUGGGGUAAAGGCCUACCAAGACAAUGAUGCAUAGCCGAGUUGAGAGACUGAUCGGCCACAUUGGGACUGAGACACGGCCCAAACUCCUACGGGAGGCUGCAGUAGGGAAUCUUCCACAAUGGGCGAAAGCCUGAUGGAGCAACGCCGCGUGUGUGAUGAAGGCUUUCGGGUCGUAAAGCACUGUUGUAUGGGAAGAACAGCUAGAAUAGGAAAUGAUUUUAGUUUGACGGUACCAUACCAGAAAGGGACGGCUAAAUACGUGCCAGCAGCCGCGGUAAUACGUAUGUCCCGAGCGUUAUCCGGAUUUAUUGGGCGUAAAGCGAGCGCAGACGGUUUAUUAAGUCUGAUGUGAAAGCCCGGAGCUCAACUCC